rnacentral:rRNA from 1 species
UACGUAGGCAGCGAGCGUUGUUCGGAAUUACUGGGCGUAAAGGGCGCGUAGGCGGCCUUCUAAGUCGAACGUGAAAUCCCCGGGCUCAACCCGGGAACUGCGUCCGAUACUGGAAGGCUUGAAUCCGGGAGAGGGAUGCGGAAUUCCAGGUGUAGCGGUGAAAUGCGUAGAUAUCUGGAGGAACACCGGUGGCGAAGGCGGCAUCCUGGACCGGUAUUGACGCUGAGGCGCGAAAGCCAGGGGAGCAAACGGG